rnacentral:rRNA from 1 species
GACGAACGCUGGCGGCGUACUUAACACAUGCAAGUCGAACGGAAAGGCCCUGCUUUUGUGGGGUGCUCGAGUGGCGAUCGGGUGAGUAACACGUGAGUAACCUGCCCUUGACUUUGGGAUAACUUCAGGAAACUGGGGCUAAUACCGGAUAGGAGCUCCUGCUGCAUGGUGGGGGUUGGAAAGUUUCGGCGGUUGGGGAUGGACUCGCGGCCUAUCAGCUUGUUGGUGGGGUAGUGGCUUACCAAGGCUUUGACGGGUAGCCGGCCUGAGAGGGUGACCGGCCACAUUGGGACUGAGAUACGGCCCAGACUCCUACGGGAGGCAGCAGUGGGGAAUAUUGCACAAUGGGCGGAAGCCUGAUGCAGCAACGCCGCGUGCGGGAUGACGGCCUUCGGGUUGUAAACCGCUUUCGCCUGUGACGAAGCGUGAGUGACGGUAAUGGGUAAAGAAGCACCGGCUAACUACGUG